AGGACGAACGCUGGCGGCGUGCCUAAUACAUGCAAGUCGAACGGUCUUUCUAUGGAAGCUUGCUUCCACUGAGAAGAUAGUGGCGAACGGGUGAGUAACACGUGGGUAACCUGCCCAUAAGAGGGGGGAUAACAUCCGGAAACGGGUGCUAAUACCGCAUAGUUUUCUUGAUCGCAUGAUCGGGAAAGGAAAGACGGCCUUUGUGCUGUCGCUUAUGGAUGGACCCGCGGCGUAUUAGUUAGUUGGUGAGGUAACGGCUCACCAAGACGAUGAUACGUAGCCGACCUGAGAGGGUGAUCGGCCACAUUGGGACUGAGACACGGCCCAAACUCCUACGGGAGGCAGCAGUAGGGAAUCUUCCGCAAUGGACGAAAGUCUGACGGAGCAACGCCGCGUGAGUGAAGAAAGGUUUUCGGAUCGUAAAACUCUGUUGUCAGAGAAGAACCAGUUGGAGAGUAACUGCUCCAGCCUUGACGGUAUCUGACCAGAAAGCCACGGCUAACUACGUGCCAGCCGCCGC
rnacentral:rRNA from 1 species